GAGGGAAAGAAAGCAAAAUAGAAAACAGCACUGCUGAAUACAAGUCCAUUGUGCCUCCACAGAUCUUGGAUACUGUGUUUCUAGUCCUGCCAUCUCUAAAAGGAUAUAGUAAUGAUACAAAGAAGGGCAACUAGGAUGAGCAGAAAUUUGGAACAGCUUCUCUAUGAAUAGAGACUAAAUAAGCUAAGACUCUUCAUUCUGAAAAAAACAGAUGGUUGAGGGGGAAUAUGAUAAAGGUUUAUAAAACUGUGAUAGUACAAAGAAAGCGGAUUGGAAAUUAUUAUGUCUUAGCUUUCAUAAUCUGAGAAUGAAAGGGAAACACAUGAAGCUGUAGAGCAAAAAUUUUUAAAGAACCAAAAAGAGGUACUUUUUUUUUCAGAUGACUCAUAAUUACUCUGUGGAGUUCGUUUUCCAGCAAAGUUGUGGGUGCCAGCUUGGAAACUUGUACCGCAAUACUGAAUAUAAAGAUGAGCUCACUGAGAAGGAUUUACAAAUAUUACAGAGCUCACCGUUCACAGCAAUGAAUGAGUGGAAGACGUGAGUAGAAGGCAAAGAUCCUCUUAUGCACAAAAAACAAGACUAUCCCCUUGGUCUUGGAAAGCCUGGAAGACAACUGACAACGGCUAGGCAAGAGCCUUGCUGGUGCAACAGCUGGAAGAACAUAUUUUAGAACUGAAAAUCAGUGAAGCAUUUUCAGAGAAAAGAGCCUGGAGUUUAAAAUCCAUUGGCCACCAGGACCCAUGGCCAGGCAGAAACCCCUGCAAGGACAGAGCCUGAGUAGUUCAUCUGAUGUUAAAGAACAUUACAGUAGACAAGGUAGCAGUACUUAAACCACAGUGCUCUGUUUGGAAAGCCAGUGCUGAAGUGAGAGGCAUAGUGGUAGCUGCACCAACUGCCUUCACCAAUGAAGCUGCUAAGAUUCGUGUGUUGCCAGAGUAUGAAGCAGUACAAAUUCAGCGCAGAACAGUGCAUGGACUUCAAAAGCCCGGAAGGAUGAUCUGCUCACCCCCAAAUUGCUCUUGCUAAGGGACCUCUGCCCCACUGCAGCGCGGCACAGGGAUGCGCAGGGCUAGGAGAGUGCGCGCGGACGUGACAGAGGCAGGAAACGGGCUACAGCGCCUGGCUUCGGGUCGUGUUAUUCAUCCGAGAUCCUUCCCCGGCGUGAAACCUGCCAGACUCUGCUCAUGUUAUUUGCCGAUGUAUCGUCUUAUAUACAUUGAAUACACUUAGUUUAUUUCAUGUGUAUAUUUCAAAUGUAUUUCAUAUAUUUUGUGCAAUUGUUGUUCAAAAACCAUGGAUUGUGGUUGGUAUUCGCUUUCAAAAUAUUUUAAUAAUUUGAGUUUCAGUAACGAUUGAUAGCAUUCCUUAUAACCAAUUUAAAGUUAUUGUGAAUUUACCUCAGCACAAAAUAAAUACCUAAACUAGACGAUUGGAACACGUUAAUUAUUUUGAGAAUUUUGAGAAUAUUGUUUAAAGAAAGAAUAAAAAUAGGAACCUUAAAGAAUGCUUUGAAAACGGUGCUUUUAGUUUGUACAAUUUAAAAUGAAAGAAGAGAUACUGCAUAGCUGUAGAUAAUCUUCAUUUCAACACAGAGAUAGUGACUGGUGCUAGCUGAGGUCUUGGCCCUCUACAUGAUCUGCAUUACUGUUAAGUCUCUCCUCGAAAGACAAUGAUAUUCAAGGCAAGUUCAUCUUCUGUGAAUCUCCAGUAUCUCCAUGUGGAUGAAUAGCUCGUUUCCAAGAAUUUAAAAAUGAUCUUUCGGAAUUGCAGUGAAUUACUUAGUGUUUUUAUUCCCACAUUGGCUUAUUAUCAAUGUUACCAAUGCACAGCCGCAUUGAGAAUUUUCCAAUACACACAAGUAGCCCAAACUUUCAUUAGAAAGUGAAAGAAGUCAUCAAAAUUAACAAAUCAUCCACACUCGAUCUUACCGUUAGAAGGUCCAUCCAAAUAAGAAAUCGUGGUGGUAUCAGCUUUAUUAAUUUAAUUAAGCCCAUG